GUUUUGUCUGUGGCUUGUUCUGCUACAUUUCUUGGUACCCUGACCAGGAAGCGAGGUGAUUAACAGAGGCCAAGGCAGCCCCUUAGGCAGCUUAGGCCUGCCUUGUGGAGCAUCCCUGUGGGGACUCCAGCCAGCUUGAGCGAUGCAGAUCCUGAGAGCGCUCCUGGGUAGGCAUUUGCCCCAGUGGAACGCCUCCUCAGAGCAGUGCACGGCAGGCCCCCGCAGAGGGUCAACGCAGUGGCUGAACACCGGGAAAGAACUGGCACUUGCAGUCUGGACAUCUGAAACUUGGCAAAUACAUUGGAGACUUCUCAACUUUCUGCUUCUGAUGAUCUCAACUUGUGGUAUGGCAAAAGGAGAGCAAAAUGUUCACCCAGGGGUCUGAGUUUGGUUCAAGAGAGGAACUACAGCUGUUGGUGACUACAACCAUCUGCCCAGAUGACAUCGUGAUCAACUCCUCUGAAUCACUCUAAAGGAACGAGAAGUCCUGGCAGCUGAGUCAUGAUCCCCCAGGAGCCAUUAAGAAGUUAAUCUUCAGUCACUUCCAUCCAAACAGAAGAAAACCCAUGAAGGAUGAGAACUAUGGGUCCUGAGAAUGACAGAAGCAGAUCAAGAAACUGGCGAUUGAAGAGUAACUGAAAGAAACGCAAUCUGAUCUUACUAGCAGUGAAAGAGCGAGUCUCCCUCUGAUGCCGAGCAGAAGCUAGACUGUACUGCUGCCAUCUCAGCUCACUGCAACCUCCCUGCCUGAUUCUCCUGCCUCAGCCUGCUGAGUGCCUGCAAUUGCAGGCGCGCCGCCACGCCUGACUGGUUUUCGUAUUUUUUUGGUGGAGACGGGGAUUCGCUGUGUUGGCCGGGCUGGUCUCCAGCUCCUAACCGCGAGUGAUCCACCAGCCUCGGCCUCCUGAGGUGCCGGGAUUGCAGACGGAGUCUGGUUCACUCAGUGCUCAAUGGCGCCCAGACUGGAGUGCAGUGGCGUGAUCUCAGCUCGCUACAACCUCCACCUCCCAGCCGCCUCCCUUGGCCUCCCAAAGUGCAGAGAUUGCAGCCUCUGCCCGGCCGCCACCCCGCCUGGGAAGUGAGGAGCGUCUCUGCCUGGCCGCCCAUUGUCUGGGAUGUGAGGAGCCCCUCUGCCUGGCUGCCCAGUCUGGAAAGUGAGGAGUGUCUCUGCCUGGCCGCCAUCCCAUCUAGGAAGUGAGGAGCGCCUCUUCCCGGCCGCCAUCCCAUCUAGGAAGUGAGGAGCCUCUCUGCCCAGCCGCCCAUCGUCUGAGAUGUGGGGAGCGCCUCUGCCCCGCCGCCCCGUCUGGGAUGUGAGGAGCGCCUCUACCCCGCCGCGACCCCGUCUGGGAGGUGAGGAGCGUCUCUGCCCGGCGGCCCCGUCUGGGAAGUGAGGAGACCCUCCGCCCGGCAGCCGCCCCAUCUGAGAAGUGAGGAGCCCCUCUGCCCAGCAGCCACCCUGUCUGGGAAGUGAGGAGCGUCUCUGCCCAGCAGCCACCCCGUCUGGGAGGGAGGUGGGGGGUCAGCCCCCCGCCCGGCCAGCCGCCCCGUCCGGGAGGUGAGGGGCGCCUCUGCCCGGCGGCCCCUACUGGGAAGUGAGGAGCCCCUCUGCCCGGCCAGCCGCCCCGUCUGGGAAGUGAGGAGCGUCUCCGCCCAGCAGCCACCCCGUCCGGGAGGGAGGUGGGGGGAUCAGCCCCCCGCCCGGCCAGCCGCCCAGUCCGGGAGGGAGGUGGGGGGGUCAGCCCCCCGCCCGGCCAGCCGCCCCGUCCGGGAGGUGAGGGGUGCCUCUGCCCGGCCGCCCCUACUGGGAAGUGAGGAGCCCCUCUGCCCGGCCAGCCGCCCGGUCCGGGAGGGAGGUGGGGGGGUCAGCCCCCUGCCUGGCAAGCCGCCCCGUCUGGGAGGGAGGUGGGGGGAUCAGCCCCCCGCCGGGCCAGCCACCCCGUCCGGGAGGUGAGGGGUGCCUCUGCCCGGCCGCCCCUACUGGGAAGUGAGGAGCCCCUCUGCCCGGCCAGCCGCCCCAUCCGGGAGUGAGGUGGGGGGGUCAGCCCCCUGCCCGGCCAGCCGCCCCGUCCGGGAGGUGAGGGGCGCCUCUGCCCGGCCGCCCCUACUGGGAAGUGAGGAGCCCCUCUGCCCGGCCACCACCCCGUCUGGGAGGUGUACCCAACAGCUCAUUGAGAACGGGCCAUGAUGACAAUGGCGGUUUUGUGGAAUAGAAAGCGGGGAAAGGUGGGGAAAAGAUUGAGAAAUCGGAUGGUUGCCGUGUCUGUGUAGAAAGAGGUAGACAUGGGAGACUUUUCAUUUUGUUCUGUACUAAGAAAAAUUCUUAUCCUGUUGAUCUGUGACCUUACCCCCAACCCCGUGCUCUCUGAAACAUGUGCUGUGUCCACUCAGGGCUAAAUGGAUUAAGGGCGGUGCAAGAUGUGCUUUGUUAAACAGAUGCUUGAAGGCAGCAUGCUCGUUGAGAGUCAUCACCACUCCCUAAUCUCAAGUAACCAGGGACACAAACACUGUGGAAGGCCGCAGGGUCCUCUGCCUAGGAAAACCAGAGACCUUUGUUCACUUGUUUAUCUGCUGACCUUCCCUCCACUAUUGUCCUAUGACCCUGCCAAAUCCCCCUCUGCGAGAAACACCCAAGAAUGAUCAAUAAAAAAAUAAAAUAAAAUAAAAUAAAAUAAAAUAAAUAAAGUUUCAUGCGCAUCCGUGUGAAGAGACCACCAAACAGGCUUUGUGUGAGCAGCAUGGCUGUUUAUUUCACCUGGGUGCAGGCGGGCUGAGUCCGAAAAGAGAGUCAGCCAAGGG
rnacentral:lncRNA from 1 species